rnacentral:lncRNA from 1 species
CAUUUGAGCCUGAAAAAAUGUUUAAAGCCUUGUGGCAGAAAUAGUGUUUUGUGUUCACUAAAUCUUCCAUUUUUUUUCUUGCUCUUCUUGAGAAAGCCACUGCAUAUAAGCAGUGGCCACAUAACCGGUUGUACCAGUGGGCUCCAAGUAGGAAUGCCACAUGUCAGCUCUGAGCAACAAAAAGACUCUUGGAGGCCAUGUGAAACAUGGGUAGAGUCACACAAAAGAAGCAGCAGCUAUGGAGACUCCUGAGAGUAAAGCAAAGCCACUGACAUGUCAGCACUGAUUUGUUACACCAGCAAUGUAACCAACCCAAGUGUAACGUCCAAAACCACUUCUUAAUCCGGCAGUUCAGUUAUUACUAUGUCAUACUAAAGCUUCAAGUUCUUUGCAUUAUCAUUACAAGUGUAUCCUUUUAGCAGGUAAUAUAAAGAUUUGGCAAUGUCUGGAGUGGGACUCAAUGCUGAGGGCUGCCAUCACCCGCCCUGGCCAGUGCCCUCCCGUAGGCCCCUGGUGUCACUGACAGACUCAAGCAUUUCAGGACACUCUUUUCCGACCAGGGUCAUUCCUUGGGUUCCUGCACUUCUUCUGACAGAAACAUUGCUAUUGAUUUUGCCAGCAUCCAUGCUAACUUCUGAAAUGUACUGAUGCAAAAAUUCCUAAAGCCCAGAUGCAACCUUGGAAAGCAGGAAGCCUCGCUUAAUGGACACGGAUAAACGGUGACGCUCAUCUGCUGAUUGUACAUCACAGAUCAAUUUGCCGAGCUAAUUUUGCGUGGAUUGGAAAUGCAAGCAACAGCCAAGUGUUUUUAAAGGAAUAAAAGGGAAGAAGAAAUCAAUCUACACAUACAUGCGUAACUUCACCGAAAAGCGUAUGCUGCGACUCCUAGUCUUCCUGGGAGUUGACCUCAUUCAGUCAUGCACGAACACGGACAGACGCGUGAAGACAAGGCCCAGGCCCUCCUCGGAGAAAAGAUCUCAAACUCCCUACCAGAGCAGGUUGCGCUUAUCAAAUAUUUCAUGCACCAAGAAGAAACUUUGCAUCGUUUCCUUUUCAAGGAGGGGCAUCCGCUCCCUCAAAAUCUCACUGGGACUUCUGGAAAAGUUUUUCACAACUCCGAUUUGAGAGGUCGGGCCUUUAAAAACAGAGGGCUAAAAUUAUAUAUGUAGCUGGCAUUACAUUUCCGUUGGGCAGCUUUGUAACAGACAAUUACAGGAAGAUACAAAACAUUUAAAAAGAAAUAUAAUAUUGGAGAUGAUUAGGAAUUUGAAUAUUACAUGAAUGUAGGAUAUAAUGAACUUUUUAAUAAACGUUUCAUUCUAGAACAGCUGCAAUGUAUAGAAAAAUUGCUAAGAGAGUCAAGAGAGUACCCACAGCCAUCUUCCCGGUCAUUAGCAGCUUGUAUUGUGGCACAUUUGCCACAUCUAAUGAAUCCGUAUUGAUCCAUUAUGAUCAACAAAAGCCUACAAUGGAUUCACACUUCCUUACUAGUCACCUUUUUCUGUUCCAGGAUCCCAUCCAAGAAACCCUAUUAUGUUCAGUCAUCAGGUCUCCUUGGGCUCCUCUCGGCUGUGAUGGUUUCUCAGACUUGCCUUGUUUUUGAUGACCUGGGCAGUUCUGAGGCGUGCUGGUCAGGUGUUUUGCAGAAUGUUCUUCAGCUGGCAUUUGUUUGCUGAUUUUCCUCAUGAUGAAACUAGGGUCACGGGUUUGGGGGAAGAAAACCACAGGGAUAAGGGGCCAUUCUCGUCACAUAUCAAGGGCACAUACUGUCACCAUGACUUCUCGUUGCUGACGCUGACACUGACCCCCUGGCUGAGGCCGAGUUGGUCACUGUCCAGUUCCUCCUUUGGCCCUUUCCACGCUGUCCUCUUUGGAAGGAAGCACAUACCUCUCUGCACAGCACACACGGAAGGGCUGGGGAGUGAGGCUCCGCUCCCUGGAGGCUGAGUGUCCACCUGAUUCGGGAUUCGUCUGCACAGUUCGUCUGUCCUCCCUCGUUUGUGUCCCUCUCCAGUCACCGCUUUCCAGCGCUAUGGACUCAGGGAUACUUCCUUGAGGCGCUGGGUUAUCAUCCACUACUACUUCAUUCUGUUGCUCAGGCCUUUCCAGAUGUGGCCACUGGAGGCGCUUUCCAUUGGCUCCUGCGUCCCUCUGAUCUAUCUCAUCGCUGUGCUUUUGUGGAGCGCAUCCUUCUGAUACGAAGACGCGCCAGACUCCAGCUGUAUAUUCCCUGUCCUCGUCCUGCAAUCAGUCAUUUCUCCCAGGAGCCCUGGUUUCUCUCAUGACACCACGGUGUUAAAAAUGAAUUCUGUGGAGUUCCCCGGUGGCCAAGCGGGUGGGAAUCCAGUGUUGUCACCACUAUGGCUGGGGUCACUGCUGUGGCACAGGUUUCAUCCUUGGCCCAAAAGACCUCUUAGGAAUACAGACAUUAAAAUGACUUACUAAGUUUUGAGGUGUGAUAAUGGUAUGGUUACUUUUUAAAACGUUUCUUUAUCUUUUAGAUAUACAUACUGACCUGUUCAUAGAUUAAAUGAUCUAUCAGAUUUGCUCCAAACAACAUGGGAGGUGGGAGAUGUGGGGGAGAGUGUGGACAAAACAAGGCAGGUAUAAUUCCUGAUGCUGGGUGACGUCCCAUCACUAUCCCUAUUUUUACAUGGACGUGAAAUGUACAAUAAAGCUUUUCUUAAAGGAAUACUUGACAGAGCUGAUACUUGCUCACCGAAUCAGGUGUUUUAUAGGAGACCUCAACAGCGAGCAUGCCUUUGACUAUCUGUAUUUUGAAAUUCCAGUUCCAAAGCAUGAAAAAGGGGACUCCUCCAUAGGAGAGAAAAAUACUGGCCUGGCUCAAUAAAAAUGGAACCACCCAGCAACUGGCUUGCAGACAUAAGAGAAAAAUUGUCCCUAGGACAUGGGACGGCUUUGUUAAACUCCUUCGUGUUUGUAGCUCAUAGCUACAUCUUCGAAUCCUAAACACACAUACACACAUAACACUGACAGAUUUAUUGAAAGCACUUGGACUGUCCCUGACAAAUCUUUCCAUAUAUCCAUAAAGAUUAGGGAUUUUUUCAGUUCUCCUACAGGGCCCAAAUCUCUGGGCCUAACCGCCUUUACCAUGAGAGUCCCCUGGAUGAACCUGUUCCCACCACCACUCAAAUCUAUCAGAGCUGCUCCAUGGCGGUGGUGGGAAGCCACACUCCAUUAAUAAAGUGUAAGCAUCAAGGUAAAUUAUUUUGGAGUUCCCUGGUGGCCUAGCAGUUAAGGAUCAGGAUUGUCACUGCUGUGGCAUGAGUUCGAUCCUUGGCCCGGGAACUUCCGCAUGCCACAGGUGUGGCCAACAAAAAUUAUUUUAAAUUGGAAGUGUACUAGAAAUGGCCAUGUUUUUAAGAAGAAAAUUUGCUUUCGUGUCCUCUGUUUUUUGGCCAUGACCGUAGCAUGUAGGAGUUCCCGGGCCAGGGACCGAACCCGAGCUACAGCAGCGACCCAAGCCACUGCAGUGACAGUGCUGGAUCCUUAACCUGCUGCACCACAAGAGAACUCCUGUGUCCUCCUUUUUAUUCAGUCAACAUCUAAGUAUCUAUGAUGUAGGAGAUACUUACUAUGCUAAAUAUCAGGAAUACAGU